ACCCAUUGAAUCUGGGCCAAACUUCAAAUUUUACCAAUGCGAUAAGUCAGCAAAUCCGUGCUGGACAAAUGACUCAGGCUCUGCUGAAUUCAAAACUUAGGAUGGUACAGAGAACAGGUGUACUAGGGGCCCCUCAGUCAGGCAUAAGUGGAAUGUCUGGAGCCAGGCAGAUGCACCCAAGUUCUGCUGGGCUUUCCAUGCUGGGCCAGUCUCUGAACCGAGCUAAUGUGAACCCAAUGCAACGGAGUGCAAUGGGGCCU
rnacentral:misc_RNA from 1 species